rnacentral:tRNA from 1 species
AAUUAGCUAAGUUGGUCAGAGCGAAACUCUUUUAAUCCCCAGGUCGUCGGUUCGAUUCCACCA